CCAGACUCCUACGGGAGGCAGCAGUGGGGGAUAUUGCACAAUGGGGGAAACCCUGAUGCAGCGACGCCGCGUGUGGGAAGACGGUCCUCUGGAUUGUAAACCACUGUCCCCAGGGACGAAGAUGACGGUACCUGGGGAGGAAGCUCCGGCUAACUACGUGCCAGCAGCCGCGGUAAUACGUAGGGAGCGAGCGCUGUCCGGAAUUACUGGGUGUAAAGGGAGCGUAGGCGGGCGAGAAAGUUGAAUGUUAAAUCUACCGGCUUAACUGGUAGCUGCGUUCAAAACUUCUUGUCUUGAGUGAAGUAGAGGCAGGCGGAAUUCCUAGUGUAGCGGUGAAAUGCGUAGAUAUUAGGAGGAACACCAGUGGCGAAGGCGGCCUGCUGGACUGUAACUGACGUUGAGGCUCGAAAGCGUGGGGAGCAAACAGGAUUAGAUACCCGCGUAC
rnacentral:rRNA from 1 species